UAAGCUAUCCCAUAAUUUUGGUUAAUUAUUUGGAGUUGAAAAGGUAUUUUAUUCAAACAGAUACAUAGCCCUAAAGGCAUUUAUAGGGCAAAUGUAUUUUUAUAUAUUUUAUUUUGAGGGGAAUCUACUCCCAAAAGUUGUAUCAUGGUAGGACAUGAUUUUACAAAUUUUCUGGAAUUUAUUUGGACCAAUUUGGAGUUCAAACUCAAAAGAUAUCAAAGAAAUGGGAAAAGCAGAAAAAGAAAAGGGCUAAAAGAAAAAAAAAUAGAAAACCGGACCGGCCCGGCCAAAAUGGGCCGAACCGGCCCAGUCCGACCGCGCCCGACCGGCCCAGCCAGCCC
rnacentral:lncRNA from 1 species